rnacentral:rRNA from 1 species
GAUGAACGCUGGCGGCGUGCCUAAUACAUGCAAGUCGAACGCAUAGCGAAAGGUGCUUGCACCUUUCAAGUGAGUGGCGAACGGGUGAGUAACACGUGGACAACCUGCCUCAAGGCUGGGGAUAACAUUUGGAAACAGAUGCUAAUACCGAAUAAAACUUAGUGUCGCAUGACACAAAGUUAAAAGGCGCUUCGGCGUCACCUAGAGAUGGAUCCGCGGUGCAUUAGUUAGUUGGUGGGGUAAAGGCCUACCAAGACAAUGAUGCAUAGCCGAGUUGAGAGACUGAUCGGCCACAUUGGGACUGAGACACGGCCCAAACUCCUACGGGAGGCUGCAGUAGGGAAUCUUCCACAAAGGGCGAAAGCCUGAUGGAGCAACGCCGCGUGUGUGAUGAAGGCUUUCGGGUCGUAAAGCACUGUUGUAUGGGAAGAACACCUAGAAUAGGAAAUGAUUUUAGUUUGACGGUACCAUACCAGAAAGGGACGGCUAAAUACGUG